rnacentral:rRNA from 1 species
UACGUAGGGACCGAGCGUUGUCCGAAGUUACUGGGCGUAAAGCGCGCGUAGGCGGGUCUUUAAGUCUGGUGUGAAAGGUUUGGGCUCAACCCGAACAGUGCACUGGAUACUGAGGACCUUGAGUGCGGGAGAGGAGAGCGGAAUUCCUGGUGUAGCGGUGAAAUGCGUAGAUAUCAGGAGGAACACCGAUGGCGAAGGCAGCUCUCUGGCCUGCAACUGACGCUGAGGUGCGAAAGCGUGGGGAGCGAACGGG